GCGAACAGAUAAGGAGCUUGCUCCUUUGACGUUAGCGGCGGACGGGUGAGUAACACGUGGGUAACCUACCUAUAAGACUGGAAUAACUCCGGGAAACCGGGGCUAAUGCCGGAUAACAUUUAGAACCGCAUGGUUCUAAAGUGAAAGAUGGUUUUGCUAUCACUUAUAGAUGGACCCGCGCCGUAUUAGCUAGUUGGUAAGGUAAUGGCUUACCAAGGCAACGAUACGUAGCCGACCUGAGAGGGUGAUCGGCCACACUGGAACUGAGACACGGUCCAGACUCCUACGGGAGGCAGCAGUAGGGAAUCUUCCGCAAUGGGCGAAAGCCUGACGGAGCAACGCCGCGUGAGUGAUGAAGGGUUUCGGCUCGUAAAACUCUGUUAUUAGGGAAGAACAAACGUGUAAGUAACUGUGCACGUCUUGACGGUACCUAAUCAGAAAGCCACGGCUAACUACGUGCCAGCAGCCGCGGUAAUACGUAGGUGGCAAGCGUUAUCCGGAAUUAUUGGGCGUAAAGCGCGCGUAGGCGGUUUCUUAAGUCUGAUGUGAAAGCCCACGGCUCAACCGUGGAGGGUCAUUGGAAACUGGGAGACUUGAGUGCAGAAGAGGAAAGUGGAAUUCCAUGUGUAGCGGUGAAAUGCGCAGAGAUAUGGAGGAACACCAGUGGCGAAGGCGACUUUCUGGUCUGUAACUGACGCUGAUGUGCGAAAGCGUGGGGAUCAAACAGGAUUAGAUACCCUGGUAGUCCACGCCGUAAACGAUGAGUGCUAAGUGUUAGGGGGUUUCCGCCCCUUAGUGCUGCAGCUAACGCAUUAAGCACUCCGCCUGGGGAGUACGACCGCAAGGUUGAAACUCAAAGGAUUUGACGGGGACCCGCACAAGCGGUGGAGCAUGUGGU
rnacentral:rRNA from 1 species